GGUGACUCAGCAGUAGAGUGCUUGCCUUGCAUGCAUGAGGCCCUGGGUUCAAUUCCUCAGCACCA
rnacentral:tRNA from 1 species